GUGGUGUGCACCUGUAAUCUCAGCUACUCAAGAGGCUGAGACAGGAGAACUGCUUAAACCCAGGAGGCAGAGGUUGCAGUGAGCCAAGAUUGCACCACUGCACUCCAGCCUGGCAAGAAAAAGUAACUACCCGUGGAGAUGUUCUGAUGGUUAGAUGGGACCAACCUGUGACGGUGCUUCAUAUGCCUUAAGCAACCCUGGCAUCACUGCUGUUCUCCUUAUCAUCAUCAGUGAUAAGUAUAAUUCUACUUGACUGGGAGGCUCAGAGAGCCUAAGUAACUUGUCCAAGGUCAUCAGCUAAUAAGCAACGAUCUAUAGGUUUUUGUCAUACUAGCAUUCAUGUUCCCUCUUUUAUACUUUGUAGCUUGGACAAGAAAUACUGAACUUCAUCUUCUCAAAAUCAUUUCCCAUUUUAUAAUGAGAAUAAUAUGACUUUUCUUUCUUCCCCUGCAGGUGAGAUGCAAUCCUUGAGGUUUGUGUGCCUUGAAAAUUGCAGAGCUGUUUGCACGUAAGAUGCCCCAUGUCAUCCCCCAGGUUGACAGAUAAAUUCUUUGCAGGAAAGUAUUGUGGUUGGCACAGCUAUGCAGGCAUAGAGUAAAUAUUCAAUAAACAUGUGGGCUGAGCCCAAGAGGGCUGUGGUGGGCAGGACCCUGUGGCACUGACGUGAGGUUUCCUGCCACCCCCAGCGUUGAGGCAGUGGGUGAUCUUAUGGAGGUGGAGUCAGGAAGCAGGGGGAGGCCCCCAGCCUUGAUAACAGGCCCACUUCCUCUGCCACCCAGCCACAUCAAAGCAGAAUAAACUGUUUCAUUCAUUCCCAUGGCAACUGGGUCCCUAAGACUUCAUGGUGGAGAUCUCCCCCCACGUCCCUUCUCAUUUCUCCCUGUGACUUUACCAGGACCUACCUUCUAAGCUAACACCACUGCAGCCCUUAGUGCCCCCAGCACUGUGAAAUCAAUUAGGCCAACAUUAAUCCUCACUAACUGCAUUGACAGGGAGGCAUUGCUAUACUCCCAUUUUACAGCUGAGGAAACUGAAGCUCACAAGCUAAAUGUCUUGCUGAAGGCCCACAGUUAGUGAGCAGCAGACCCAGGAUUUGAAAGCACAAUGGUCUGGUCCCAAGGACUAGUAGUCACCAAGUUAUUCUGCCUCUCCUUCAAGCAUUCAAGUUCCCUGGCCUCCAUUCUAGUCCUGUCUCCACUUAACUGGGGGUGGGGGGGACUCAGGAAUUGGGCAAAAAGAUUACCGCAUGCCUGUUAAAAAUCAUAUGAGAGCAUUUUCAACAAGCUGCAGGCUUCACAGUUUAUCAUUCCAGGGUUUGGGCCUCACCAUUGCCUGCCCCUCUAUGCCACAUCUGCUUUCUGGGCUGCCCAGAACAGAGUUUCUACCCAGCCGCCUGCAAAAAUAUCUCAAGGCAUAGCAUGCAUUGAGCUGAGGAGAGACAGCUGGUUCUAUUGAAAUUGGGAAGUGGUCUCCCCACAGGUAAUCCCCUCCCCUAACCUCAUAACUCCCUUAUCCUUUUCAAAACAAAAAAAAGAAUCAUUUAGGUCUUUGGUAUAAACCCAAGGCCCUGCCAGGACAUUUGGAUUUUAAAUUCUUUCUCUGAGCAUUGUAGAAAGGAAGGAAAGCAUUGCCUCCUAGCAAAGGAACUCCAGUCACCAGCAAGCUCAGAAGAGAUCCAGGUCUGUUUGUUUUGGGAGGGAGUGAGGGAGGGAAUGGAGUUUGACCUUAAACUGGCUUGUUCCUUUAGGGUUUGUUCUUUUCCUUGGGAAACUGAGUUGGCAGACGCCUUUCAGGAUCCAGCCCCUCCUAAGGGUUUUCCUGAUGUCCUAAAUCUCCACCCAAGUCUCUACUAUGAGAUUCAACCAUCAGAUGCUUGACAAUGUCAUGAAGAAGAGCCUCCAAGGUUGUGAACCAAGGCAUAGGCAGAAGUGAACCAAAGGUUACAAGACUGAUGCAACACAUUCACUGAGAUGGAGAAGUUUGAGGAGAGGAUAAUUUGGGAGUGGAAAACAAGAGUCCUUCUUUGUCCGAGUUCUAUCCCCAUCUGACCCCAGUGGAGAGGUCUGGGCUAUAGCUCUCUAUUUGGGAGUUCACAUGGUACCAUGGUCACUGAGGCUGUGAACCAUGUGAAGAGAGAAGUGUGGAGAGAACACCUCCAGUGUUAAGAGGUGGCACUGGAAGAAUCACCAAAGGAACACUGAGAAGAUGCAGCUCAUGAACAGGAAGAGAACACGAUGUCCCAGGAUCCAAAACAAGUGUGUUUCAAGGAGGGAGUGGGGAAUGCUGCUGCAAGAUCUACAACAUGAGGGCAGAGAAGUGGCCACUGCAUCUGGUGACGUGGAGGGUUUGGGUGAGCAUGAAGGAACAAGUGCAGGGAGAAUACCAAACGGAAAGGGCUGAGGAGAGAGAAGAAGUGGCAGAGAGGCAACUCCUUUGGGAAGCUUUGCUCAAGACUUGGGUUUAUGAGAUGCCCCAGAAUCCUUCUAUCAUACUCAAAUAUAUUUAUCUCAUAAAAGAGGUGCUAUUUGAGAGUCCACUCCAAAGAAGGGGUAUUUUCACCAUUAGAUGUGAAGGAAUAAUUGGCACUGGACUAAGCCUCCCUCCAUAAACAAUUGUAGGACGAGCCAAAAGAGUUGAAGCAACUGUUUAUAGACACUGGACAACAGGCAAGCACAGGCCUGUAAUCCCUCAGAGAAGAGAAAUACACAAGGUGAGCCUCUUGAUUUUCCUGGCUUUCUGCUGGAAGGCCCUUCCAUGGUUUAAAGCAUAGAGGUAGAACCCAAGCAGAGUACAGAGGGCUUUCUGAGUUGAGGAGCCAGAAAUUGGAGUUUGGAGUCUAGAAAUGGCUGGGAUGUGUGGGGCAAGAAACUGGAAAAGAGGGAAAUGUGAAAAAGAGGAGGUCAAGAAGACCUUAGCUGAAUACUAAGCUGUGCAUGCAGGGUAAGACCGUGUGAAGCCUGGCAGAAACAGCUACUGGAAAGCCUGGAGUUGAGCAGAGGUUCUAGAAGUUGCAAAGUGCUGGGAGACAUUGAAUUUCCAAUCAGCCAGGGUGGAGGAACAUCACUGAAUACCUCAGGCAUUCAACUGAGAUCCUAGAAGGGCAAUGCUUGGCAUCUAGACAUCCAUUAAGUUUUAAGAAACACUUGAAGGGAUCCUGCUUAUCCAACUAUAACUUAAGUGCCUGCCAGAAUACAAUUCUUUAAAGAAAAACAAGAAAAUCCAGACUCUCAAGAAUGUGGCAUCCACAAUGCCUAGAAUACAUUUAAAAAUUACUAGACAGAGGCUGGGCGCAGUGGCCUAUGCCUGUAAUCCCAGCA